GGUGUGUCAUCAAUCUUUGAUAAAGUGGACUUACAUAAGACCAGGGCUAGAGAAAAAAGUCUUGGAGAGUGUGCUUCUGUCUCCUUGUUUGUGGAUUUUUAUUUUUUAAAAUCCAUGAUGUGUGAAUGCUCUAUGCAUUUUUAUUUGUCAUUACUUAGAAUAAUGAUGUCCUAUUUACAUGUGAGUGGAAAAUACUGUGUACUUUCCCUGUAUGUACAUGUACAUAUAUAUUCUAAGGUCAACCUUUUUCAUCAAGUCUGUGAUAAUUAUUUUUUUAUGGUCACAAAAGUUAAGCCUGCCAUCUUUGAUUUGUUUAUUGCGUGCAAUCAGAAAUGUUUAUGGAAUGUGCUUUUGUUCUGUUCUAGCUGUUUUUCACCGGAAAAGAAUGUGAUUAUAUACACCAAGAGUAGUAUGUAUUUACAAAGCUUUUUCACAUUCACCAUUACUGUACUUGAAUUCUGAUCUGCUGCUACAAAGAAAUUUAUAUAAUUUUAUUUUUAGGAUUUACAUCCUGUAGUUCUGUAUAGUAUUUAAAUGCAAAAGAUACUUUCUAUUAAAUUUCAGUUUAAGUUUAAAACUGGUACAUGUACUUAAAACAAUUUUUGAUGAAUUCAUAUUUGACAGGAAAAUGUAAUUUUUAGAGAAAAGAAUUCUAUCAAUAUAGAACUGUCAUAUGACAUCCUGUUUAUGGUUAAGAUAGACUGAUGUAUCCCUUUAAAACUUAUAUUUAAUGCUUUUAUUUAUUGAUGCAUUAGUAAUAGCAUAUUGAAAAAUCAUUUUCACUUUGUAAGACCUUUCCUAUAUUUAAGUGCAAUAUCAGUACAUCAAGUCACAAAGUGUGACCAGUUGUGUUUGUUGGGGCUGACUGGAAAACAUGCACUUUUAAUUUUAACAAGUUUUAGUGUUAGGUUGUUGGUCAUGAAUUACAAUUGCAUCUUAUUCAAAUUAAGUAUAAUUUAAAAGCAGAUCAUUUUGCCUGACAUGGCCUGAAAACAUUAGCUAUUAAGAUAUAUCUGAGGGGGCACAUUAUUGCAGCAACCUGUGAUUGUGAAAAGAAUCACUUAAAAUAGAAUUACUAGCAUGCAUAUAUAUGCAUUUAAAUUUAAAUAAAUUAUGUACGGUAGUCAAAUUCACUAAACAUGUUAAAAUUAUGUAUUGAUAAACAUUUCUAAGGAAUGUUAAGGGGUCUCUGAUUUUCAGAGUUCUCAACAUGGAAUAUACAUAUUAGAAUUUCUAUUUACAUAUGUGCCAUAAAAAUUACUAAAGUUAUUUUUAGUGUACAGUGUAUUUUCUUAAUAUUACUAAUAUAUUAAUCAACCUUAAUACUAUAACAAAUUUCAGCCAUAAAUUAAUUAGGACAAUGAUAAUUUUAUUUUGACCUUGUGUGUAACUUUUUAUAACUGGUCGUGAGGAAAUGUUUUCAUAAUGGGUUGCUUUUUUCUAAUAAUAUACAUGUAACACAAAACUUUUUUUAAAAAAAUUAUUAUGCAAUUCUUUCUCAUUUAAACAUCUCCAUCUGGAAUUGCAGUAAAUCAUUUUUUUCCAAGAUUAAAACAACCUCAACAUUUGUUUAACAAAAUGGAAUAAAAGCUUGCAUCUUCUCAAUUUUCAACAUAAUAUGUCCAAAAUAGCAUUGAAAUGCUAUUAGAAGCUUGUAGGAAGCUUCUAUUUAUCAGUGUUUGAAAUUUUAUGUGCUGUGGCAUUUUUAUUGUUAAUUUUUUUGGACAGUGUUGUACUUGUCUUUGUGAGCUGCAUCUACAUCUAUUUAAAAUUAUGUUGAUUUGAAUUAAGUUACCAGACUUGACACUUUAAUUUGAGAACAAGCUUUCUGUUUCCAAUAUGCACCAGAGUUGAAACCAAGCCAUCAGUAUUGUACAUGAUGUUGUUUGAAUUUUCUCAAAUGUCAUUUGCAUUUUAGGCAAAUUUUGUGACUGUAUACAUGUGGUAUAGUGUUUUUCAUUUUCCCCUUUUUGAUGGUAACAAUCCAUUUUUCAUACAAGUUUUCUGCUCAGCAUAACAGAAUUCAAUGAGUACACAUGACAGCCCCUGCAUUUGAAUUAUGCAAUGUUUACAAGCAGACAAUCAGCCAUAUUUUUUGUUUUGUAUUUUAAAUCACCCACCACAUCACAAUGGCUUAAUAUUUUUGACCUCAGGUACACAUUCUGUGAGUGGAUGUAUUCUAGUGAUGAUGUUAGCAGUUUUCACAGCUAGAUUACUUGUUUAAUACACCAUUUAUGUAUUAUAAAACCUUUACUCAAAUGACAAUGUUUCAAUCAGUAUAAAUCAGCAUUGUGCCAUCAUGUUAACUUUUAAACAAAUUUAAGAGCCAAAUUUUUACUCUGUUUACCUAAGUUGUACUUAUACAAAUAUAAAGUACAUGGUUUGUAAGGAAAUCUUAAUAUUGAGGAAAAUAUCAGACAAGUUUUAAAAACAACGAAAUAUGAAUAGGUUAUUGGAUUCAUUUGAAUAUUUAUGUUUAAAAAAUAAAAAGAAAAGAAAUAAAACAUUCAAGUUUUGAUUGUGCAUGUAAAUGUUUAAAAAAUCUAAAGUUCUUUUGUGUUUCUGCUUCUCAUCAUUGAGCUGUUUUCUUAACUGGUGGUGGGGAUGCAUGUGCAAGAAUAAUCAGGAUUUGGGUCUUCAGGGUUUUUAUGUUGUCUUAAAGAUUUGUGUUUGAUAUUUGAAUUUAUACAAUUGCCAUUCCUAUAUUUUCAUUCCAAAGAGUCCCAAGAAUAUUUGUGAAGGAAAUUGGGCACUUGCAAAUAAUUUUUUAUAAAAAAUUGUAAUUAUUGCUAAUACAUGUAUCAUUCUUGUUAUUGUUUGGAGAGGGUUGUGGGGUGGUUUUAAUUUGUAGUUUGUUACAUUGUUGGUGUUUCUUUUGUUUUGGCAAGACAACUGAGCUACUUUCAGUUUUAUUGAAUUUAUACAUAUUCAUGAUGAGUAAGUGCUAAAAAAAUUGAUGAACUUGUAGCAGAGCAACAGCAUUUAAGUUUACCUCCUGUUCAUAUGCAUGACUUGCAGUUCUUUGUGUAUUUUACAAUUUGUCAUUAAUUUUUCGCUAAUAUUAAUAGAUUUAGAACAAUCCUGCUGUUUUCUGUUGAUUUUGAAGAUUUUUAUGCAUAUUUUUUAUGUAGAUAGGGCAUAAACUAAGUAUUUAAGAGCAUGAACAUAGAUAAAAACUCUAAAAGAAACUCAAAUGACAAUGUAAAAAAAAUCUUAAUUUUAUUUCUGAUCAAUAUGUUGUGUAUUUUGUGUAUUCAUCACAGGUAAAACACUUUUGUUACAUGUUUUUCAUGGUGAUACUCAUUCAGGCAAUCCAUUGUCCUAUUUAAGGUUAAGAUCUAGUUACCAGUACUAUACAUUUUAACUAAAAAAAAAAACAACAAUAAUUUUGCUCUUAGAUCUAUUAAGACAUCAUACACUUGCAUGCAUGUUGUUAAAACUUACAUGACCACAGUAGAUGUUGUUCAUGUAUAAAUAAAAUGCAGGAAAAUAUGCAUUGAAGAUCAGAUGUUUGUAAGAUAUUACCUGGUACUCAAAACCUAGCUGUUUCUAUAUUUUUUGUUCAAAUUACAUACACAGUAAUUGCAAAAUUUAAUGACCUAUGUAUAUGUUGUAAUAAUAUUGUGUUUUUGUGCAAAAGAAAAAAAAAUUCCUAAAAACUCUGUUUUUUACACAAUUACAUAUAUACAAAAUUAAAUUUUUCUUGCAAAAACAUUUUUAAAUCCAGACAGUAUUUUCUAUAAAAAUCUAGUCUACAAAAUUGUAUUUCAUAAUGUUUUUAUUUGUAACAAAUCAUUCAGAAAUGCACCUGUUUCAGAUCUUGGAAACAAAUGAUGAGAUCAUUACUUGUACUCUUCAUUUUGACAAGGAGUUUCAAACCUUCAAUUGUUUAAAUAAAUUAAAAUUUCCAGUUGGUUUCCAGUUUGUGCUGGAUUGAUUUGAUCUCUUAUUAAACCCAAUAUUCAGUAUUGUAGACUGAUGUUUGUGUUGUUGAACUUCCAUACUAACCAUAUUUUUCUAUAUGAAUUUUACCCUCAGUAUCUUAAAACCUUUGGAUUUUUCUCAGUUCAUCAACUGAGAUACUUUCAAUUGUACAUGAUGUAUGCCUUUGUAACCAAAAAAGAAAAACCUAUUGACCAUAUAAAAAGAUGAAUAUGUACAAUGUACUGAAAAGUUCAAAAAUUCACGAAGAAUCCUUACAUAUCUGUAUAGUGUAAAUAUGUACCACAUCUCUUAAAGAGGAACCAUUUGUCACAAACCAUGUUAUAUUGUUAGUAAUGACCUUCCAUGUCAGUAAUUUGUUUUGUUUAGGAUUAAUUGUCAUGGCAUUGUGUGUAUAAACUUAUACAACAUAUUCAAUUUAUAUUGAAGGUUUUUUGUACUUAAAAAUUCCAAAUAUAAGAUCCAUCCAAGAUUUGUAAGCUUCUAUUUUUUUUGUGUCGAUUCUGUCAUAACUAUCAAUCAUAGAAACAGAUAAACUGAAGUAGACAUAAUUAGUAUAGAAAAAUACUUUGUUUAGUUGUGUACUCGCUACUGCAACUGCAGUUCAUAAGAAUUUUCAUUAUGAUGAGACAAAGAGUCAUUAUUUAUUGUUUUGUUGAUUGUGCUGUAAUCCUAAUUAUAUUGAUUUGAGCCAUGAUGCUCUUGUGUGAAAUUUUGAGGAAAUAAACUAUUUUGUUUUUUAAA